rnacentral:rRNA from 1 species
GACUCUCGGCAACGGAUAUCUCAGCUCUCGCGUCGAUGAAGAACGUAGAGAAAUGUGAUACUUGGUGUGAAUUGCAGAAUCCCGUGAGCCAUCGAGUCUUUGAACGCAAGUUGUGCCCCAAGCCUUCUGGCCGAGGGCACGUCUCCCUGGGUGUCA